AGAUUGAACGCUGGCGGCAUGCCUAACACAUGCAAGUCGAGCGGCAGCGCGGGGGCAACCCUGGCGGCGAGCGGCGGACGGGUGAGUAAUGCAUCGGGACGUAUCCUUGAGUGGGGGAUAACGCAGCGAAAGUUGUGCUAAUACCGCAUAAGCUCUGAGGAGGAAAGCGGGGGACCGAAAGGCCUCGCGCAGCAGGAUGAGCCGAUGUCCGAUUAGCUGGUUGGUGGGGUAACGGCCCACCAAGGCGACGAUCGGUAGCUGGUCUGGGAGGAUGAUCAGCCACACUGGGACUGAGACACGGCCCAGACUCCUACGGAGGCAGC
rnacentral:rRNA from 1 species